rnacentral:rRNA from 1 species
AUUGAACGCUGGCGGCAUGCCUUACACAUGCAAGUCGAACGGCAGCACGGGGGCAACCCUGGUGGCGAGUGGCGAACGGGUGAGUAAUGCAUCGGAACGUGCCCCGUAGCGGGGGAUAACCAGUCGAAAGACUGGCUAAUACCGCAUACGCUCCACGGAGGAAAGCAGGGGAUCGCAAGACCUUGCACUAUGGGAGCGGCCGAUGCCCGAUUAGCUAGUUGGUGAGGUAAAGGCUCACCAAGGCGACGAUCGGUAGCUGGUUUGAGAGAACGACCAGCCACACUGGGACUGAGACACGGCCCAGACUCCUACGGGAGGCAGCAGUGGGGAAUUUUGGACAAUGGGCGCAAGCCUGAUCCAGCCAUGCCGCGUGCGGGAUGAAGGCCUCGG